rnacentral:misc_RNA from 1 species
GAUGAAGAACGUAGCGAAAUGCGAUAAGUAAUGUGAAUUGCAGAAUCCAGUGAAUCAUCGAAUCUUUGAACGCACAUUGCGCCCGCCAGCAUUCUGGCGGGCAUACCUGUUCGAGCGUCAUUUCAACCCUCGACCUCCCUUUGGGGAAGUCGGCGUUGGGGACCGGCAGCACACCGCCGGCCCUGAAAUGGAGUGGCGGCCCGUCCGCGGCGACCUCUGCGUAGUAAUCCAACUCGCACCGGAACCCCGACGCGGCCACGCCGUAAAACACCCAACUUCUGAACGUUGACCUCGAAUCAGGUAGGACUACCCGCUGAACUUAAGCAUAUCAUAAGCGGAGGA